rnacentral:rRNA from 1 species
AGAGUUUGAUCAUGGCUCAGAACGUACGCUGGCGGCACGCCUUAUACAUGCAAGUCGAACGAAGUAGCAAUACUUAGUGGCAGACGGGUGAGUAACAUGUAGGUAUCUACCCUUGGUGAGGAAUAACACGAGGAAACUUGGGCUAAUACCUCAUAAGUCUUUACGGAAAAAGCUUUAUGCGCCGAAGGAUGAGCCUGCACUUGAUUAGUUUGUUGGGGGGGUAAUGGCCUACCAAGACUUUGAUCUAUAGCUGAUCUGAAAGGAUGAUCAGCCACAUUGGGACUGAAACACGGCCCAAACUCCUACGGGAGGCAGCAGUAGGGAAUAUUGCACAAUGGAGGAAACUCUGAUGCAGCGAUGCCGCGUGAGUGAAGAAGGCCUUUGGGUUGUAAAACUCUUUCGUCGGGGAAGAAAAUGACUGUACCCGAAUAAGAAGGUCCGGCUAACUUCGUGCCAGCAGCCGCGGUAAUACGAAGGGACCUAGCGUAGUUCGGAAUUACUGGGCUUAAAGAGUUCGUAGGUGGUUAAAAAAGUUGGUGGUGAAAUCCCAGAGCUUAACUCUGGAACUGCCAUCAAAACUUUUUAGCUAGAGUAUGAUAGAGGAAAGCAGAAUUUCUAGUAUAGAGGUGAAAUUCGUAGAUAUUAGAAAGAAUACCAAUUGCGAAGGCAGCUUUCUGGAUCAUUACUGACGCUGAAGAACGAAAGCAUUGGUAGCGAAGAAGAUUAGAUACCCUCGUAGUCCAUGCCGUAAACGAUGUGUGUUAGACGUUGGAAAUUUAUUUUCAGUGUCGCAGCGAAAGCGUUAAACACACCGCCUGGGGA